rnacentral:rRNA from 1 species
GGAUGAGCCCGCGGCCUAUCAGCUUGUUGGUGGGGUGAUGGCCUACCAAGGCGACGACGGGUAGCCGGCCUGAGAGGGUGACCGGCCGCACUGGGACUGAGACACAGCCCAGACUCCUACGGGAGGCAGCAGUGGGGAAUAUUGCACAAUGGGCGCAAGCCUGAUGCAGCGACGCCGCGUGAGGGAUGACGGCCUUCGGGUUGUAAACCUCUUUCAGUAGGGAAGAAGGCCUUCGGGUUGACGGUACCUGCAGAAGAAGCGCCGGCUAACUACGUGACAGCAGCCGCGGCCG